UUCCUCAAAAGUGUCAAAUCAAAGACUCCAUAAUUAUUAUAUAUUUUCUGUCCAUGUCAUAUUAUACUGACUUCAGGGGCAAGUGGUGGGUGGGGUUAAUCUGAGUAAAGUCAGUGAAAUGAACAAAAGAUUUCUGUUCAUGGCAAGUGUUACUUACAGCAUUCACUAUCUCAGUAAGAAAACAAAACCUUCUGGGGUAAGGCAACAUCUUCGUGUCCUUAGAGCAGUGGAAGCAUGUCAUACACCGAGGCUACUAAAGAUUAUUAAAGUCUUGACCAAAGUAAUUAGUCGAAUUCGGAGAUGGUGUAGUUAUGCAUAACAGUCAGAUAUUAAUAGGUUAUUCUAAUAGCACUGCUCUACUUUCUCAAGAAAUUCUCCAUAUCCAUUGCCUGUUCUCACCAUGAGUCACAGAUACUCCCUAUUGGCUCAGGACCAGUCAGCACUGAUUUUGUCUCUACAGUAGCUUUCAAACUAUGGCUAUCAAUCACCAGCACCUUUUACAGCCAGCCAAACAGCUAGCAACAUACACAAUACAGUCUCCUUUAUGUUGCUUCCAGAUGCUGUUCGUCAGAGGAUUCUAAAAACUUACCACAGAAUAUCCGUGCCCAGAAACCCAUUUCUAAAUGCAUCUCCAUCAGGACAAAUAAAAAGUACAUCUGGGAACAGAAACCCUGUUGGACAGGUACAUCAUUGCUGUUAUAUGGGAAAGGUAGAAUUUCUCACACCAUUUUUAGAUAAGAACCAGCAUGUUGUGAAUCAGUCAUUUAUUUUUCUUGAGUUUGUAUCCAAGUAGUAAACCAUCAACUGAAACAAGUAAAAAUAAUCUCACUACUUACAUUCCAUUUCCAAAAUGUGGUCUUCUCUAGUAUUUUUCAUGUUAGAUACUUUGAAGGAAAAGCCCUCUGCCCAAUGAGUACAUGGAAAACAGGGCUAGAUCCAGCAGCUGUGGACACGAAAAUCAGCUGCUGGUACUGCCCCUUCAUCCUGACAGCCUUCCUCUUAAUCUCUUUUCUGCCCUCUUGCAGGUGUGAGGGAUGGAGCAAUGACCUCUUUUUGUAA
rnacentral:lncRNA from 1 species